rnacentral:rRNA from 1 species
CAGGCCUAACACAUGCAAGUCGAGCGCCCCGCAAGGGGAGCGGCAGACGGGUGAGUAACACGUGGGAACGUACCCUGAACUACGGAACAGCUCCGGGAAACUGGAAUUAAUACCGUAUGUGUCCUGAGGGACAAAGGUUUACCGGUUCAGGAUCGGCCCGCGUCCGAUUAGCUAGUUGGUGGGGUAAUGGCCUACCAAGGCGACGAUCGGUAGCUGGUCUGAGAGGAUGAUCAGCCACAUUGGGACUGAGACACGGCCCAAACUCCUACGGGAGGCAGCAGUGGGGAAUAUUGGACAAUGGGCGCAAGCCUGAUCCAGCCAUGCCGCGUGAGUGAUGAAGGUCUUAGGAUUGUAAAGCACUUUCGACCGGGACGAAAACCCCUGGGCUAAUACUCCAGGGCUUGACGGUACCGGGAGAAGAAGCACCGGCUAACUCUGUGCCAGCAGCCGCGGUAAU